rnacentral:rRNA from 1 species
GCGAUAAAGUAUCGUUAGUGGCGGACGGGUGAGUAACGGCGUGGGUAAUCUGCCCAUAAGUGGGGAACAACAGUUGGAAACGACUGCUAAGUACCGCAUAAUCUGCCUUAGGGUAGGAAAGGUGGCCUCUUAACAAUGCUGCCGCUUAUGGAUGAGCCCGCGUCUGAUUAGCUAGGUUGGUGGGGUAAAGGCCUACCAAGGCGACGAUCAGUAGCCCGGCCUGAGAGGGUGAACGGCCACACUGGGACUGAGACACGGCCCAGACUCCUACGGGAGGCAGCAGUGGGGAAUAUUGCGCAAUGGGGGAAACCCUGACGCAGCGACGCCGCGUAGAGCGAAGAAGGCCUUAGGGUUGUAAAGCUCUGUUUAGGGGACGAAUGUUCAUAGGAGUAAUAUGCCUGUGAAAUGACGGUACCCUAAGAGGAAGCCCCGGCUAACCUACGUGCCAGCAGCGGC